rnacentral:rRNA from 1 species
GUAGGUGGCAAGCGUUGUCCGGAAUUAUUGGGCGUAAAGCGCGCGCAGGUGGUUCUUUAAGUCUGAUGUGAAAGCCCCCGGCUCAACCGGGGAGGGUCAUUGGAAACUGGGGAACUUGAGUGCAGGAGAGGAAAGUGGAAUUCCACGUGUAGCGGUGAAAUGCGUAGAUAUGUGGAGGAACACCAGUGGCGAAGGCGACUUUCUGGCCUGUAACUGACACUGAGGCGCGAAAGCGUGGGGAGCAAACAGGGAUUAGAUACCCUGGUAGUCCACGCCGUAAACGAUGAGUGCUAAGUGUUGGGGGGGGUUUUCCCCGGCCCCCUCAGUGCUGCAGCUAACGCAUUAAGCACUCCGCCUGGGGAGUACGGUCGCAAGACUG